UACAGAGGUGGCAAGCGUUGUUCGGAAUUACUGGGCGUAAAGGGCGCGUAGGCGGCCCACUAAGUCAGACGUGAAAUCCCCCGGCUUAACCUGGGAACUGCGUCUGAUACUGGAGGGCUUGAGUAUGGGAGAGGGAUGUAGAAUUCCAGGUGUAGCGGUGAAAUGCGUAGAUAUCUGGAGGAAUACCGGUGGCGAAGGCGGCAUCCUGGACCGACAUUGACGCUGAACGGCGAAAGCUAGGGGAGCAAACGGA
rnacentral:rRNA from 1 species